rnacentral:rRNA from 1 species
AUUGAACGCUGGCGGCAUGAUUUACACAUGCAAGUCGAACGGUAACAGGCCGCAAGGUGCUGACGAGUGGCGAACGGGUGAGUAAUGCAUCGGAACGUGCCCAGUCGUGGGGGAUAACUACUCGAAAGAGUAGCUAAUACCGCAUACGAUCUAUGGAUGAACGCGGGGGACCGUAAGGCCUCGCGCGAUUGGAGCGGACGAUGUCAGAUUCGGUAGUUGGUGGGGUAAAGGCUCACCAAGCCAACGAUCUGUAGCUGGUCUGAGAGGACGACCAGCCACACUGGGACUGAGACACGGCCCAGACUCCUACGGGAGGCAGCAGUGGGGAAUUUUGGACAAUGGGCGCAAGCCUGAUCCAGCAAUGCCGCGUGCAGGAAGAAGGCCUUCGGGUUGUAAACUGCUUUUGUACGGAACGAAACGGCUCUGGUUAAUACCCGGGGCUAAUGACGGUACCGUAAGAAUAAGCACCGGCUAACUACGUG